UACGUAGGGGGCAAGCGUUGUCCGGAUUUAUUGGGCGUAAAGCGCGCGCAGGCGGUUCUUUAAGUCUGGUGUUUAAGUGCGGGGCUCAACCCCGUGACGCACUGGAAACUGGGGAACUUGAGUGCAGAAGAGGAGAGCGGAAUUCCACGUGUAGCGGUGAAAUGCGUAGAGAUGUGGAGGAACACCAGUGGCGAAGGCGGCUCUCUGGACUGUAACUGACGCUGAGGCGCGAAGCGUGGGGAGCAAACAGG
rnacentral:rRNA from 1 species